rnacentral:tRNA from 1 species
GGGUUGCUAACUCAACGGUAGAGUCCUCGGCUUUUAA